CCCUUAGAUGUUCUGGGCCGCACGCGCGCUACACUGACUGGUGCAACAAGUGUCUGACCUUGGCUCGAGAGGCCUGGGCAACCUUUGAACGCCAGUCGUGCUGGGGAUAGAUUCUUGCAAUUAUUAAUCUUCAACGAGGAAUUCCUAGUAAACGCAAGUCAUCAGCUUGCAUUGAUUACGUCCCUGCCCUUUGUACACACCGCCCGUCGCUACUACCGAUUGAACGUUUUAGUGAGGUAUUUGGACUGGACCUUCGGAGGUUCGCGCCUCCGUUGCUGUUCGGGAAGACUCCCAAACUUGAGCGUUUAGAGGAAGUAAAAGUCGUAACA
rnacentral:rRNA from 1 species